UCGUAACAAGGUUUCUGUAGGUGAACCUGCAGAAGGAUCAUUAGUGAAAGUUUCGGGCCUGCCAUACGGACGCAAACACGUCUCUGGCGCCCAUCACUAUAUCCAUACCAACCCCUGUGCACUGUGAUGACGAAUGUCAUCGAACAAAAAAAAACUCGUAUGGUUGAAUGUACGUGAAAUUGUAGGUAUAGCCUACGAACUAUACACAACUUUCGACAACGGAUCUCUUGGUUCUCCCAUCGAUGAAGAACGCAGCGAAACGCGAUAGGUAAUGUGAAUUGCAGAAUUCCGUGAAUCAUCGAAUCUUUGAACGCACCUUGCGCUCCAUGGUAUUCCGUGGAGCAUGCCUGUUUGAGUGCCGCGAAUUCUCCCUCCCCUUACGGUGGCCGAAAGGCCGAAGUAGGGCGGACGGGGUAGGAUGGGUGUUUGCUGCCUGGGGAUUGUACCAGGCUCGCCCGAAAUGCAUAAGCGCCAGGACCCUCGCUACCGCUCUCUAGGGAAGAGUGGCUAAGCGACCGCUGAGCAUGGCAUGAUACGUCAUUUGCUGUGUGUGGGCGGCCGGUUGGAGAGGUGUCUGCUUUACCAGCCCUAUUUUAAUUCUGGUCUCAAAUCAGGUAGGAUCACCCGCUGAACCUAAGCAUAU
rnacentral:misc_RNA from 1 species